GUGAGAAAAUGGAGGUCCAGAGAGAAAAGUGACUCACCCAAGCUGAAAACAAUUGCAGGAAGUAAAGCCAGGACAGAACUGGGCUGUUAGAAACCUUGGAGUACACUAAAGAUGAGGAACUGAGUCACCGCAAUGCCAAAUGUAACACGCCGUGGGUCAAAAUUUGGAUGGUUGCGUUGGAAAUUAUUCUGAAGCCACAGACAGGGCUAAAAGAGUCUAGAAUGUCCUACUAAUGGUUGGAACCUGCUGGAGUUCUAAAGGCAUGCGAUGUCCUGAAUGUGCUUGACCGAUGGACACAGCAGGUAUUUGAAGAGUUUUGAUGCUUCCUUUCUGUUUUCAGUGCUAUUUUUUGCUUUAUUUCUUUUUAAAAACUUUCCCCACAGAGGCUAUUUAUUACACAGC